rnacentral:rRNA from 1 species
GAAUUUUGGGCAAUGGGCGAAAGCCUGACCCAGCAACGCCGCGUGAAGGAUGAAGUAUUUCGGUAUGUAAACUUCGAAAGAAUGGGCAGAAUAAAUGACGGUACCAUUUAUAAGCUCCGGCUAACUACGUGCCAGCAGCCGCGGUAAUACGAAGGUGGCGAGCGUUGUUCGGAUUUACUGGGCGUAAAGAGCACGUAGGCGGUUGGGUAAGCCUCUUGGGAAAUCUCCCGGCUUAACCGGGAAAGGUCGAGGGGAACUACUCAGCUAGAGGACGGGAGAGGAGCGCGGAAUUCCCGGUGUAGCGGUGAAAUGCGUAGAUAUCGGGAAGAAGGCCGGUGGCGAAGGCGGCGCUCUGGAACGUACCUGACGCUGAGGUGCGAAAGCGUGGGGAGCAAACAGG